GAAAACUGCCCAGUGAGGGCAGUGCACAGGAGUGAAAGUUGAGGGGCUUUUAUGCAAAAUGGCUUUUAUUUGAGUGGGCUGAGCCCUCUCUCUCCCUCACACUCUCUCAUUUCACUCUCUCUCACUCUCUUUCUCUCUUGCUCUCUCUCUCUAGAGAUAACAAAGAAGGAGAAGAAGAAAGAGAAGAAGAAGAAGGAGGAGAAGAAGAAGAAGAAGGAGGAGAAGAAGAAGGAAGCUAGGAGCAUCUUCCUCUCCCUCUCCUCUUCCCAUUGGUGUAGCUCAAGAGGUAAGCUACAAACC
rnacentral:lncRNA from 1 species